GGUAUACCGCCAUCUUGGAUUGCACAAUCGCAGUACAAAAUCGGUCUAAUUAUUUGCCUAAAUCUGCAAAUUUGGAGACAAAUUUGCAAUUCAAUGGUUAGACUGUUUUUUCUAUUUGAAGACAAAUUGUUAAUUAAUCGUAUUAUUCAAAAUAUUUUAACAAAUAUCAAUUUUUUUGGUAUAAAAAUUAUUUUUUUCAAAUGAGCCAUUUAAGGGGAAAUAACUCUUUUAGUACAAAA
rnacentral:lncRNA from 1 species